UACAGAGGUCUCAAGCGUUGUUCGGAUUCAUUGGGCGUAAAGGGUGUGUAGGUGGCGCGCUAAGUCGGGUGUGAAAUUUCGGAGCUUAACUCCGAAACUGCAUUCGAUACUGGCGUGCUUGAGGACUGGAGUGGAGACUGGAAUUCAUGGUGUAGCAGUGAAAUGCGUAGAGAUCAUGAGGAAGACCAGUGGCGAAGGCGGGUCUCUGGACAGUUCCUGACACUGAGACACGAAGGCCAGGGGAGCAAACGGG
rnacentral:rRNA from 1 species